rnacentral:rRNA from 1 species
UUGAACGCUGGCGGCAUGCCUUACACAUGCAAGUCGAACGGUAACGGGUUAAGCCGACGAGUGGCGAACGGGUGGGUAAUAUAUCGGAACAUGCCCAAUCGUGGGGGAUAACGCAGCGAAAGUUGUGCUAAUACCGCAUAAGAUCUACGGAUGAAAGCGGGGGAUCGCAAGACCUCGCGCGAGUGGAGCGGCCGAUAUCAGAUUAGCUAGUUGGUGGGGUAAAGGCCCACCAAGGCGACGAUCUGUAGCUGGUCUGAGAGGACGACCAGCCACACUGGGACUGAGACACGGUCCAGACUCCUACGGGAGGCAGCAGUGGGGAAUUUUGGACAAUGGGGGAAACCCUGAUCCAGCCAUUCCGCGUGAGUGAAGAAGGCCUUCGGGUUGUAAAGCUCUUUCAGCAGGAACGAAACGGUCGGCUUUAAUAAAGUCGGCUAAUGACGGUACCUGCAGAAGAAGCACCGGCUAACUACGU